AUAUCAGUCAUGCAUUAGCAUAUCAAUAAGCGGAGGAAAAGAAACUAACAAGGAUUCCCUUAGUAACGGCGAGUGAAGCGGGAAGAGCUCAAAUUUGAAAUCUUCAAGGUUCUACCUUGACGAAUUGUAGUUUAUAGAAGUGUUUUCUGUUAGUGGAGUGGCAAAAGUUCUUUGGAAUAGGACAUCAUAGAGGGUGAGAAUCCCGUAUUUGGUCAUUCCUCCUAGCGUUGUGAUACACUUUCAACGAGUCGGAUUGUUUGGGAAUGCAGUCCAAAAUGGGUGGUAAAUUUCAUCUAAAGCUAAAUAUUGGCGAGAGACCGAUAGCGAACAAGUACCGUGAGGGAAAGAUGAAAAGAACUUUGAAAAGAGAGUUAAACAGUACGUGAAAUUGUCAAAAGGGAAGCGUUUGACACCAGUGUUGUUUUUCCGAAAAUCAAUUACGAAUGUUUUAUUUUUGAGGAGUUAUGACUUCAUCGGCUUGCUCCUUUCUUUAUGAAACUUUCUUAAUGCACUUUUCGGUUAACAAGUCAACAUCAAUUUCUUUUGUUGUAAAAGGGUAUGAGGAAGGUGGCUUUCCUUUUCGGAGAAAGUGUUUAUAGCCUUGUGCCUCUGCAAUCGGAGAGAUUGAGGUCUGCAGCGUAGAUCCUUCGGGGUUAGAUACGUUUGUGCUAAGUUAUAGCUUUUCAUAGACAACUUGUUGACUAUGUUUAGUCUUGUAGCUUACUCGCUUACGCUAUUUUACCUACGCUUAGGAUGUUGAUCUCUCACAGUCGAGC
rnacentral:rRNA from 1 species